rnacentral:tRNA from 1 species
AAGAUAUAGCUUUAAGUGAGCGUUAUUAUUUACAUUAAUAAUUAGGUUGUGCAAUUCAACAUGUCUUG